ensembl:lncRNA
AUGGAGGGGCUCUGGGCUGGGGGCAAGGGGCAGAUGCAGCCACCCCUGGGGCCUCAGCCCUCUUGUUAUCUCUUCAUUGUCUCCUGUCUCCCCAGCCUACCCCCUCAUCAGUUGCCCUUCUGUCAUCUCCACAGGGUCCCCCUCGGCCAGCAGCCCAGACCUGGAACUCCAGAGGGAGCUUGUAAGAGGGUCCCCACAGGUUUCCCUGCUCUGGGGGGUCCUGAGACAGGUAACAAUGUUGAUGCUGCUGCUGAUGAUGCUGCUGCUGCUGCUGCUGAUGAUGAUGAUGAUAGCCACCAGAUAGGAAAUGCUAACUAUAGCCCAGGACCCAGGUACGUGCGUCAUAUUCAUGAUCUCAUUCACCCUCUUCAAAACAACCAAUAAGUAGGUGGAAUUAUGGACAUUGGGAAAACUUAGAUCCAAAUGGGGGAGUGACUUGCCCAAGGUCAAAGAGGUGGCAGAACCUGGAAUGAAACAAAAGUGUCUGAGCUGGGGUUCACACUUUUAAAAAUUAUGGGAUUUUAUGGGAAUAUCUACUCCUAUGCCAGAAGGGACACUGAAGCCAUUGGAAAGGAGUGUGGCCAGCUUGAAUCACACAGGAAAUGUAAGGACUAUUUGAUACAUGAAUGAAUGGGUGAAUGAAUGAAUGAAUGAAUGAAUGAAUGAAACCCAAACCUUGUGACUUGUGACUCAAGGUCCAAUAACUUGGCUGAUCCUCUGUUGAUGCUGACUUGGUGUAAUGAAGAAAGCACAUGAACAUGCCCGAGUGGGAACUAGUGACUUUUACCUGCCCAAUAUCCCUUCUCCUUUGUGGUGCCUGGUCCUCACCUGGUCUCAGUCCUUAUGUUUUCAGUGAGGCUGACCCUACCCUGAAGCUCCAAGGGAGAGACAUUGCCCAACCGUGGCCAAUCAGAGUAUAUUUUCUACCACAAGCUCUGUCCCCAGGCAUAAUGGAUUAUCCAGGGAUGGACAUGUGAUCCAAGCCAGGACAAUGAGACAAGUCUAGACUUUUUGCUGGAACUAUCAGAGAGAGAGAGAGAGAAAAAAAAAGAGUGUUCUCAAUUCCUGGGAUUGCUAAACUAAUGUAAUGUCAGUUUGCAGCUUCUGGUAGCCAUUUUUGUUGUUAUUGUUUGUUGUUGUUGUUCUAUUUUAUUUUAAAACAAAGAUGGGGUCUCCCUAUGUUACCCAGGCUGGUCUUGAACUUCUAGGCUCAAGUGAUCCUCCAGCCUUGGCCUCCCGAAGUGCUGGGAUUAUAGUACUGGGUUCAUACCCAGCCUGUGAGCCAUUUUGCCACCAAGAAUGGAGCCACAAAGAGUAACCACUAUAUCUAGCAACAUUGAACCCCUGGAUCCAGCUAUGCCUGAAGCCUGCAUAUACCCAGAGUUGUUUUCCAGUUACAUAAGUUUUAAUUGGUGUGGCAGAUGCUGCUGGUCACCUAUCAGAAUUCAUUUUCCCUUUCCAAUGCUAUUGGCAUUUCGUAUAGCAAUGCAGCUGUCUGAAACACUUGUUUGUACUUUUUGUACCUCUAAGGGGCCAUGUGACCCAGUUCUGGUUAAUGACUCCUUGGGAGAAAUGUCAUUCUCAAAUAAAAAGACAAGACCCUAAAAGAAAGCUCUUCGCCCUUUUGCCUUUUUCCUGCCUGAAUUACAAAUGCAAUGCCUAUCUUUGGAUUUCUUAAUACUUACAAAAAAUAAACACUUUGCUUAUUUAAGCUACUGUAUUUGCAUUUCAAGGAAGUAUAAUUCUAACUGAUAGAGUGGGGUUCCUGAUUUUGCAACUGAAAAACUCCUGCCUGAUAUGCUUUCUCCAAGAGAUGUAAGGAAUGUGAAGGAAGAAACUGGUAGGAUGAGAAGAAAUUGCUUUGACUUCUCUAUUUGCUCCAAGAUGAUCACCUACCUUGUUCACUCAUCUCUAUUACCUAGCAAAGAUAGCAAUCUGGAAGGACCAUAAAUUGUAGGUAGAUGGAGAAGAAAAUUGGCCUUUAGCAAGGACUGGCUCCAGGCAGUAUUUCAAAGCAGGAAAGGUGGAAAGGCUGUGGAAGAAACAUGUCAUAUCUCCAUCUACACAGGUACAAGAACCUGCCAUCUAAGCAACUCUCAGCACAACUUAUUGGUCCUGUGUCAUACUCUGUAAAGGACCCAUCAUCAACCAGAUGUUGGCCACUUCAUUAAAUUGCUCAGUACCUCCAUGAUACUGAGGGCUCAUGGGUCCAGGGGAACCAGGCCUCACUGCAUUUAGGGAGACCUGGCCUGUGAUGGAGCCACAUGAAACUGCUGAUCUUCAAACACUAUUCCAGGGCCAGGUGCCAGAGCCUGGCUUUAAUCCAGAGCUGGACUAGUCAGCCCCAGGAGAACCUGGGACAAAGCUGGUUGCACUGGGAUCAAGUGUGAGGAAGGUAGACUGAUUGGCUUCAGCUUCCUCAGAGAUUCUGCAAGAUUCUGCAAGAGACCUAGGCAGAGACCAGACGCAGAUUCUGCAAGAGACCUAAGAUUGAAUCUUAGACUCUUGGAGCAAGAGAAUUUUAAAAACUAGCUCAAGAGACAUUUAGAACCAUAUUAUUUUAGAAGACUCAACAAUAACAUCUAAAAUUAUAGAAUUCAGCCAGGCAUGGUGGCUCACCCCUGUAAUCCCAGCACUCUGGGAGGCAAAGGCGGGCAGAUCACGAGGUCAAGAGAUAGAGACAAUCCUGGCCAUCAUGGUGAAAACCCGUCUCUACUAAAAAUACAAAAAAUAGCUGGGCGUGGUGGCACAUGCCUGUAGUCCCAGCUACUCGGGAGACUGAGGCAGGAGAAUCGCUUGAACCAGGGAGGCAGAGGUUGCAGUGAACAGAGAUCAUGCCACUGCUUUCCAUCCUGUGUGGCAGAGUGAGACUCCGUAUCUAAAAUAUUAGACCAAUAAACUCUAAAAUUCUAGCUUUAUAGGAAACUUAGAACCACAGAAUUUUAGAACUAGAGAA